rnacentral:rRNA from 1 species
UACGUAGGGUGCAAGCGUUGUCCGGAAUUAUUGGGCGUAAAGAGCUCGUAGGCGGUUCGUCGCGUCGGCUGUGAAAACCCGGAGCUCAACUCCGGGCCUGCAGUCGAUACGGGCGGACUGGAGUGUUGCAGGGGAGACUGGAAUUCCUGGUGUAGCGGUGAAAUGCGCAGAUAUCAGGAAGAACACCUAUGGCGAAGGCAGCACUCUGGGACGGUACUGACGCUGAGACGCGAAAGCGUGGGGAGCGAACAGG